CCUGCCCCAAGAGCCAUUCCAAGUGUGGCUGCUAUGUCACAUGUAUGUCAGUAGGUGUCAGAGAGGAGAAAGGGUAUGUCUAUUCUCAGUGUUCGAACCUAUGAACAUUUGAAUAAUUAGUAGCUUAACAUU